GUUCGGUUAGUUCAGUGGAUAGAACAACAGUUUUAGGAACUGUAUGCCAUGGGUUCGAAUCCCAUACCAAACUCCA
rnacentral:tRNA from 1 species